rnacentral:rRNA from 1 species
GAUGAACGCUGGCGGCGUGCCUAAUACAUGCAAGUCGAGCGAACGGACGAGAAGCUUGCUUCUCUGAUGUUAGCGGCGGACGGGUGAGUAACACGUGGAUAACCUACCUAUAAGACUGGGAUAACUUCGGGAAACCGUAGCUAAUACCGGAUAAUAUUUUGAACCGCAUGGUUCAAAAGUGAAAGACGGUCUUGCUGUCACUUAUAGAUGGAUCCGCGCCGCAUUAGCUAGUUGGUAAGGUAACGGCUUACCAAGGCAACGAUGCAUAGCCGACCUGAGAGGGUGAUCGGCCACACUGGAACUGAGACACGGUCCAGACUCCUACGGGAGGCAGCAGUAGGGAAUCUUCCGCAAUGGGCGAAAGCCUGACGGAGCAACGCCGCGUGAGUGAUGAAGGUCUUCGGAUCGUAAAACUCUGUUAUUAGGGAAGAACAUAUGUGUAAGUAACCGUGCACAUCUUGACGGUACCUAAUCAGAAAGCCACGGCUAACUACGUG